UGCAAACUCAAGUAGGCAGUUAUGUAGCCCCCGCCCAAAUUCGUGAACCCAAAACAAAACCCACAAGAUCUCAUCAACAGUUUUUACCUCACAGCUGACACUUACAAAGGAGUUCCAAGUGCUUCCGCCAACUCCUCCUACCAGCAACUGUGAAAACAACGGCCAUGAGACUCAUGGAUCUGAAACUUGAAGAGCAAAGCUACGGACACCUUCAACCUUGGAGCCAUUGCCUCUGCCCUGAGUGGCUACUAGGCAUGGGAGCAGUGGGAAAUGGGCUUGGAGAUAGCACCCGAGGACCCCCGAGAAAUCCCAUCUCACUAUAUGGAGUGAUGUGAUCAACUUCCAGCUCAGCUCAGAGAAGAUGAAGGGACUCUUCUAGAUUAGCCAAGCACAUUGGUGGAUCUGGAACCCAGUUAUUCCGAGAGCCCACUCGACAAAAAAGAGAACAAAAACAGCCAACACCAUCGACCCUGUGCCAAUCACUGUGCUAGGUAAUUUGCAUAGAUUAUUUUAUGGAAUC
rnacentral:lncRNA from 1 species